CAAGAGGCGGUUUACCUCUGCCCCCAUCCUGACACAGCCUGACCCCAACCGCCAGUUCAUCGUGGAAGUGGACGCGUCAGAUGUGGGUGUUGGAGCCAUUCUUUCCCAGCGUUCAGCCAAGGAUUGGAAGGUCUUGCAGUUGGGUCAUUCUUCCCGGCUCUCCUGCCAUCCUGGAGCUAGGCGCACCCAAGCCUUCAUCCGCCGGAGAUUUUGGUGGCCUACCAUUGGAGGUGAUGUUCGUGCCUUUGUCUCAGCCUGUUCUGUCUGUGCACGGAGUAAGAACUCCACGCAACCCUCUUCCGGCCUGUUGCAGCCCC
ensembl:lncRNA